rnacentral:lncRNA from 1 species
AUGUUGACCCCGCCAGAACCACUUGCAUACCUGGGCCACUUCGGGAGCUACUGCCCACACGGGGACCUGUGGCUGGCAGCCAAAUGCCUGGGGAGCCUUUUUAACCUUGCUGCCUGGGACUGUGGAAUGCUGGGGAGGCCUGCCGGAGCUGUGCGCCAGGCUGCCACCCUCCAGGUGCCCGCAGGCUCUGCCGGUUGUAGCUCACCCCUCCCUGCUGUUUUCUCCAGCCUGAGGCUGCGCACGAGGUUCCGCCCCUGGGGCUGGGCUGUUCCCAGAGGUCAAGGAGCGAAAGGGGCGGGGCCCGUGCUCGCCUGCUCUGUCCCACAGGCUCCCUCAGGUUUUGGUCCCAGAUACUAUCUGAAGGAUAGAGAAGGAGACGGAAAGCAGAGAGAGAGCUUGAAGAUUUUAGGCUAAUGAAGAUCCACUUAAACCAGAAAAUAAAUGUAAACCACACCAUGGUUUGUAAACCACACCAUGACUGCCUGUGUCUCCUUUUGCCUCACUUCUCUUUGGGUCACACCUGAUGGUAAAGCACCAUAUAUUAUACUGAAAGACCAUGGCGAAAGUGUCACUCUUUUCUAGCCCAUUGUUGGGUUCUCAUGUUUGCCAAUUCUUCUAAUGUUAUUAUAAUAAAAAUCUGUUUUCAUUUUUCAUAUUAGAAUUAACAGCAUUCUGAAAGGAUAGAAUAAUAUCUAAUUAUACAAUUAUUGAGUUCUCUG